rnacentral:rRNA from 1 species
UACGAGAGGCCCAAACGUUAUUCGGAAUUACUGGGCUUAAAGAGUCCGUAGGCGGCGCAGAAAGUAGGGUGUGAAAGCCCUCGGCUCAACCGAGGAAUUGCGCUCUAAACUACUGUGCUUGAGGAACCUAGAGGUGAGCGGAACUGAUGGUGGAGCGGUGAAACGCGUUGAUAUCAUCAGGAACACCGGAGGCGAAGGCGGCUCACUGGGGGUUAUCUGACGCUGAGGGACGAAAGCCAGGGGAGCGAACAGG